AUAUUGCACAGUGGGCGAAAGCCUGAUCCAGCCAUGCCGCGCGUGUGAAGAAGGUNUUNNGUUUGNANAGCACUUUAAGUUGGNNNNNAGGGUUGUAGGAUAAUACCCUGCAAUUUUGACGUUACCAACAGAAUAAGCACCGGCUAACUUCGUGCUAGCAGCCGCGGUAAUACGAAGGGUGCAAGCGUUAAUCGGAAUUACUGGGCGUAAAGCGCGCGUAAGUGGUUCGUUAAGUUGGAAGUGAAAGCCCCGAGCUUAACCUGGGAAUUGCUUUCAAAACUGACGAGCUAGAGUACGGUAGAGGGUAGUGGAAUUUCCUGUGUAGCGGUGAAAUGCGUAGAUAUAGGAAGGAACAUCAGUGGCGAAGGCGACUACCUGGACUGAUACUGACACUGAGGUGCGAAAGCGUGGGGAGCAAACAGG
rnacentral:rRNA from 1 species